rnacentral:misc_RNA from 1 species
GAUGAAGAACGCAGCGAAAUGCGAUAAGUAGUGUGAAUUGCAGAAUUCAGUGAAUCAUCGAAUCUUUGAACGCACAUUGCGCCCCUUGGUAUCCCGAGGGGCAUGCCUGUUCGAGCGUCAUUUCACCACUCAAGCCUGGCUUGGUGUUGGGCGACGUCCCCUUUGGGGACGCGCCUCGAAACACUCGGCGGCGUGGCACCGGCUUUAAGCGUAGCAGAAUCUUUCGCUUUGGAAGUCGGGGCCCCGUCUGCCGGAAGACCUACUCGCAAGGUUGACCUCGGAUCAGGCAGGGAUACCCGCUGAACUUAAGCAUAUCAAUAAGCGGAGGA